rnacentral:snoRNA from 1 species
GGGUCCGAUGAUGAUCAAAUCAUAACUUUCGUUCUUCCGAGAUUUUAUCAUGCGGAGAAAUUAUGGAGACCUGAACUGAGCUGAGAAAAAAAAAAAAAAAAAAAAAAAAAAAAA